rnacentral:rRNA from 1 species
CAGAGCCGCGGUAAUACGUAGGGUGCGAGCGUUAAUCGGAAUUACUGGGCGUAAAGCGUGCGCAGGCGGUUUUGUAAGACAGGCGUGAAAUCCCCGGGCUCAACCUGGGAAUGGCGCUUGUGACUGCAAAGCUAGAGUGCGGCAGAGGGGGAUGGAAUUCCGCGUGUAGCAGUGAAAUGCGUAGAUAUGCGGAGGAACACCGAUGGCGAAGGCAAUCCCCUGGGCCUGCACUGACGCUCAUGCACGAAAGCGUGGGGAGCAAACAGGAUUAGAUACCCCUGUAGUCCCUGUCUCUUAUACC